rnacentral:rRNA from 1 species
GUAGCGGAGAAAUUCCAAUCGAACUUGGAGAUAGCUGGUUCUCUCCGAAAUAGCUUUAGGGCUAGCCUCAAGUGAUGAUUAUUGGAGGUAGAGCACUGUUUGGACGAGGGGCCCCUCUCGGGUUACCGAAUUCAGACAAACUCCGAAUGCCAAAUAAUUUAACUUGGGAGUCAGAAUGUGGGUGAUAAGGUCCAUAUUCGAAAGGGAAACAGCCCAGACCACCAGCUAAGGUCCCAAAAUAUAUGUUAAGUGGAAAAGGAUGUGGCGUUGCCCAGACAACUAGGAUGUUGGCUUAGAAGCAGCCAUCAUUUAAAGAGUGCGUAAUAGCUCACUAGUCGAGUGACACUGCGCCGAAAAUGUACCGGGGCUAAACAUAUUACCGAAGCUGUGGAUUGUCCUUUGGACAAUGGUAGGAGAGCGUUCUAAGGGCGUUGAAGCAUGAUCGCAAGGACAUGUGGAGCGCUUAGAAGUGAGAAUGCCGGUGUGAGUAGCGAAAGACGGGUGAGAAUCCCGUCCACCGAUUGACUAAGGUUUCCAGAGGAAGGCUCGUCCGCUCUGGGUUAGUCGGGUCCUAAGCUGAGGCCGACAGGCGUAGGCGAUGGAUAACAGGUUGAUAUUCCUGUACCACCAUUAUUCGUUUUAAGCGAUGGGGGGACGCAGUAGGAUAGGCGAAGCGUGCUGUUGGAGUGCACGUCCAAGCAGUGAGAUUGAGUGUUAGGCAAAUCCGGCACUCUUAAGAUUGAGCUGUGAUGGGGAGAGGAACUUGUUCCUCGAGUCGUUGAUUUCACACUGCCGAGAAAAGCCUCUAGCUAGAAUAACGGUGCCCGUACCGCAAACCGACACAGGUAGUCAAGAUGAGAAUUCUAAGGUGAGCGAGCGAACUCUCGUUAAGGAACUCGGCAAAAUGACCCCGUAACUUCGGGAGAAGGGGUGCUCUUUGAGGUUCACGCUUCGAAGAGCCGCAGUGAAUAGGCCCAAGCGACUGUUUAUCAAAAACACAGGUCUCUGCUAAACCGUAAGGUGACGUAUAGGGGCUGACGCCUGCCCGGUGCUGGAAGGUUAAGAGGAGUGGUUAGCGCAAGCGAAGCUACGAAUCGAAGCCCCAGUAAACGGCGGCCGUAACUAUAACGGUCCUAAGGUAGCGAAAUUCCUUGUCGGGUAAGUUCCGACCCGCACGAAAGGCGUAACGAUUUGGGCACUGUCUCAACGAGAGACUCGGUGAAAUCAUAGUACCGGUGAAGAUGCCGGUUACCCGCGACAGGACGGAAAGACCCCGUGGAGCUUUACUGUAGCCUGAUAUUGAAAUUCGGUACAGUUUGUACAGGAUAGGUAGGAGCCUUAGAAGCGUGAGCGCUAGCUUACGUGGAGGCAUUGGUGGGAUACUACCCUAAUUGUAUUGGAUUUCUAACCCGCAGCACUUAUCGUGCUGGGAGACAGUGUCAGGCGGGCAGUUUGACUGGGGCGGUCGCCUCCUAAAGAGUAACGGAGGCGCUCAAAGGUUCCCUCAGAAUGGUUGGAAAUCAUUCAUAGAGUGUAAAGGCAUAAGGGAGCUUGACUGCGAGACCUACAAGUCGAGCAGGGUCGAAAGACGGACUUAGUGAUCCGGUGGUUCCGCAUGGAAGGGCCAUCGCUCAACGGAUAAAAGCUACCCCGGGGAUAACAGGCUUAUCUCCCCCAAGAGUUCACAUCGACGGGGAGGUUUGGCACCUCGAUGUCGGCUCAUCGCAUCCUGGGGCUGUAGUCGGUCCCAAGGGUUGGGCUGUUCGCCCAUUAAAGCGGUACGCGAGCUGGGUUCAGAACGUCGUGAGACAGUUCGGUCCCUAUCCGUCGUGGGCGUAGGAAAUUUGAGAGGAGCUGUCCUUAGUACGAGAGGACCGGGAUGGACAUACCUCUGGUGUACCAGUUGUCGUGCCAACGGCAUAGCUGGGUAGCUAUGUAUGGACGGGAUAAGUGCUGAAAGCAUCUAAGCAUGAAGCCCCCCUCGAGAUGAGAUUUCCCAACUUC